UACGCACUCCCUCCAUCUCAAAAUUCUUGUCUUAUAUUAGUCUAGAUAGGAUGUAUCUAAUACUAAAAUAUGACUUAAUACAUCCUUAUUUAAAAAAAUUAAGACAAGAAUUUUGCGACCAAGGGAGUACAAC
rfam:Triticum aestivum genome assembly, contig: Triticum_aestivum_CS42_TGACv1_scaffold_375981_5AL